UGUAAUAUGCAUGUACUGGCAGUACUGACAGUUUUUCCAGUAAUUAUGUACAUUAUACAAUUACGGAUUUGUUUCUACUGUAGCUUAUAUUUUCAAAAUAAAAUUUUAUUGUUCUCUGAAGGCCGAAUAAAUUUUGAUUCUGUUUUUAUUUGUUAUACGGAACUAAUGACACUAUGGCGACAGCACGGGGAACCCAUGGAACGGCUCAGAUUUGGCCAUGGCGCUGAACCAAUUUGAUGUGUUCAGUGCCUGCAACCGUUGUCCCGUAGCGUUUACGGGAAUGUUUCGCCGUGUUGACUACCUGACUUCCGUUAGGCCCGAAUUUGAAAGCGACUUUUAUGAUGUUCACCAGCUGCUGCAUUAUUUUACGGUUCCCGAGUAUAUGUCAGUUGUUCCCCAAGGAACUAUCAAGGCCAUGAAGUCUGGCCCACGCAAAACCACUCCACACGGGACUACUUUUGAUAUCAGUUUUGGGGAUCGACGUAUUCCCGACUAUCUUACAAAAUUUGGAAAAGACGGUGAACGAUUGAUCUAUAUGUGCACUGAGGUCAAGUUUAAGCGUGAGGACCUGGAGCUUUGCCUGACGCAACUGGCCGAACAGCUGCAAACGGUGUUCCAGUCGGGACGCUCAUCCCCUCAUGGUGUUCUGGGACUGGCAUUGAUGGGUGUGUACGGGCAGCUGUAUUUUCAAACUGACGAGCACUCGAGUAUGGAGGCCUUAACACCGUGGAUGCAUGUAACAUACAGCCGCCUCUCUACGACCAUGAGGACAUGUCUCAUAGGCCUCCACGCCCAGACCACCCUAUCGCUCGAACCCGAUGCUGAUGCCUCGCCGUGAUCAAAAUUCUCACCCCCUCUCAUUUCCGACUGUUUUUGGCACUUUUUGCUAACCCUGGCACUGCCGUAAAUUUCCGGAGGAGAAGGAUGAAAUGAUUAUUGAUGGGAUUUUUUGGAAUGGAACUCUUCUCACAUAUUUUGUCUUCUUUUGCAAGCGGCUCAAGAUACCCCUCGUCCGGACGACGAUGAGGACUGUAAAUCUGGCAUUUAUUAAACAACGUGGAAGGCGUUAACCAUCCCCAUUUCAAUACUUACGGUUGCCGCUUACUUUUGAGGAACGCUUUUGUUUUUGAUUCCUCCUGCGUUUGUUUUUCUUUUCUCGAUUAUUCUAAUUUUGUACGAGUCGAAAGUAGUCAGCUCUUUACGAAUGGUUCGACAUUAGUCUCUUGCGCCUAAGUUAUUAUGGAAACCAAAAUUUAAUGCUCGGCUUUGAUGCAUUUUGCGAAUCAUGGUUCAUGGAGACCAGAACCUUUUAUUUCAUUCAGUCGGGUUCAAGUUCAUUAAAAUGAAAAGAGAGC